rnacentral:rRNA from 1 species
CUCUUUUAGCAGGGAAGAAGCGAGAGUGACGGUACCUGCAGAAAAAGCGCCGGCUAACUACGUGCCAGCAGCCGCGGUAAUACGUAGGGCGCAAGCGUUAUCCGGAAUUAUUGGGCGUAAAGAGCUCGUAGGCGGUUUGUCGCGUCUGCUGUGAAAUCCCGAGGCUCAACCUCGGGCCUGCAGUGGGUACGGGCAGACUAGAGUGCGGUAGGGGAGAUUGGAAUUCCUGGUGUAGCGGUGGAAUGCGCAGAUAUCAGGAGGAACACCGAUGGCGAAGGCAGAUCUCUGGGCCGUAACUGACGCUGAGGAGCGAAAGGGUGGGGAGCAAACAGGCUUAGAUACCCUGGUAGUCCACCCCGUAAACGUUGGGAACUAGUUGUGGGGUCCAUUCCACGGAUUCCGUGACGCAGCUAACGCAUUAAGUUCCCCGCCUGGGGAGUACGGCCGCAAGGCUAAAACUCAAAGGAAUUGACGGGGACCCGCACAAGCGGCGGAGCAUGCGGAUUAAUUCGAUGCAACGCGAAGAACCUUACCAAGGCUUGACAUAUACGAGAACGGGCCAGAAAUGGUCAACUCUUUGGACACUCGUAAACAGGUGGUGCAUGGUUGUCGUCAGCUCGUGUCGUGAGAUGUUGGGUUAAGUCCCGCAACGAGCGCAACCCUCGUUCUAUGUUGCCAGCACGUAAUGGUGGGAACUCAUGGGAUACUGCCGGGGUCAACUCGGAGGAAGGUGGGGAUGA